AUUGAACGCUGGCGGAAUGCUUUACACAUGCAAGUCGAACGGUAGAGGGGGCAACCCCUCGAGAGUGGCGAACGGGUGAGUAAUAUAUCGGAACGUGCCCAGUCGUGGGGGAUAACGUAGCGAAAGUUACGCUAAUACCGCAUACGAUCUAAGGAUGAAAGCGGGGGAUCGCAAGACCUCGCGCGAUUGGAGCGGCCGAUAACAGAUUAGGUAGUUGGUGGGGUAAAGGCUCACCAAGCCAACGAUCUGUAGCUGGUCUGAGAGGACGACCAGCCACACUGGAACUGAGACACGGUCCAGACUCCUACGGGAGGCAGCAGUGGGGAAUUUUGGACAAUGGACGCAAGUCUGAUCCAGCCAUUCCGCGUGCAGGAUGAAGGCCCUCGGGUUGUAAACUGCUUUUGUACGGAACGAAAAGGUCUCUCUUAAUACGGGGGACUCAUGACGGUACCGUAAGAAUAAGCACCGGCUAACUACGUGCCAGCAGCCGCCGUAA
rnacentral:rRNA from 1 species